UCCAGUCGCUGUAACGCGUUUGUGGGGGCGCUCGGGCGCAGGACUCGGGGUGGGACGUCCGAGGCAGAGUCAGCCGCCACCCUUGGCUCUGCAGCUCCAAGUCCGUCUGCACCGAGACGCUGACCGAGAAAGCCCAGGGCCCCUGAGCGCGGGGCACGAGACUCCGAACCCGGCGCGCGUAGCGGGUGGGGGUGGGGUGGGGGUCAGGAAAAGCUUCCUAGAGGAAAAGCGACUUUAUGGCGCCUGCUGCCACCGCUCGCAGAGGACAAAAGACCAGGGGACAAAGCUUGAUCUUUUAAUUUUGAUUUAGAACUGCCAAAGAAGAAGUCCACGUGAAAAUGCUGUGGGCAGUUGAUGCUGCGGGCCGUGCCAGGACCGCGGAAAGUUGAUGAGCCUGAGUUCCCUGCUGAAAGGGAGAUGGAGCUGGCAGUGUGACUUGUCCAGGGCCUUCAGCCCGGGCAUGGCCAUCAGCCCAAAGCCGACAUCCCCUCAGUAUAAGCCAAGUGAAGGAGAACUGUGGGACCUGGGGAGGGAGGCUAGUCUGAAUAAGACAAGAGAGCUGGCAUGGAGAGGGGAAUCGUUUAUCUGUGUUCCAGGCCGUUGUGACAUUUGGGUGAGGUUGAGCAAGGAAGGAGGCUGUCUUCGGGGCAGACAAAGUGCACAGCCUCACCUUGACACACCCUUGGUGAGGAUUCUCCUUAUCCCUCGGCCUGAGCCUGCGGAGCCAUCUGGGGUGGCAGCCGGGCUUCCUCUUCUGCAGGCAUCCUACUCCUUGCCUCCCCAGGAAGCUGUCUCCCGCCUGCUGUUCUGGGCCCUCAUUGCAUUCAUGGCCCUUUCUGCCCAGCCUGGAGACAGCUGGAUGCGAGCUCCUGCCCUGCCCACCACAACCCCUGGCUGCCUCCCUCUGAGGAAAUAA
rnacentral:lncRNA from 1 species